CCCAGACAGGUGCUCAAAUAAGAAAUUAUGUUAAGUAAAUUAGCACUAGUAUCACAUCCUGAAUGGCUUUGUCUUGGCUGCAGAAAAGAAAAAGUUAUGGGGCUGCUUGCGUAUUUUUUGUCACUCUUAAACAGCGGGGUGACUUGUAUAAUCCCUGGAGAUUUACAUUGCAAAAAAGGGUCAACCUCACUUUGGCUGGCUUGUCUUCUUGAUUUCUUCAUUGGUGGUGCUAAAGAGAGUUGAUGAGACAGGAAGAAAGCAGCAGGGAUUGCUGAGUCUGAACAUCACUUCUGCUAAGCUUGGAGCAGCACUGAAGCUAUUUUAAACAAGGUGAGGAAAUAACAUGCCUUUUUUUUUUUAUGGUAAAAUAGCCUGUCUGAGGUAUUGAAGUGUGAAAUUCAGACCCUGAGAUUUAACUAUGGAGAAUCACACGUGGGAGAGUAAUGUGGCAAGUUUUCAAUUAAAAAAGUUAUUUGAAAUCUUCCUUAUACAAAUACAAAUUAAUAAUUUUUUGGAAUAGGUGCACAUGCAAUGUGAUUGUUCGGUGAAAAGUGUAUGUGUCUCAAACCAGGAAAUCAGAAUUCAGCCUUUACAGUGCGAAAGAGAACAGAUCCAGUUCAGCCAGUGGAUGAAGUUCAUUUAAGGCUAAGCCCAGCAUUGAAAAGUGCACGUGAUGCCAGAAGAUCUUCCUAAUCAUGCAGUUGCUUAUUGAAUCUCCAUAGUUCACCAUACAAAAUAGUGCAGAGAUGAAGUGUGGGUUUAAGUAAAUGACACUCACCAAAAUUUUGUAAAAUGAAUGAGGGUCCAGAUUCUAUUCUCAAUCUCACCUGCAAUUUCUGCCUCAUAAAACAGAUAAAAAUUGGGGUGUAGAUAAACUUUUUUUUUUUUUUUUCAGAAAUACAAGGUUACCUUGAAUCUCUGACUCUUUUCUGAAUGAUUAACCAUGAAUCACUGUU
rnacentral:lncRNA from 1 species